rnacentral:misc_RNA from 1 species
GCUUAAAUUAGCAUCAUUGAGAACCUGAAUCAGAGCUUUAAAGGGGGGAGACCAAGAAAAUAUAAGCAAGAAACUAAAAAAGAUGUCCUCACCCAUGAAGACAGGACCUCUGGAGGCUGGUGAAGCAUCAAAGAAUGAAACCUCAAAACAUGGGUUAAAUACAAACAGAAGGAGAGCGAUCUCAAUACUAGACCUCAUUUUAAGAGUUUUUGCAGCGAUUGGCACAUUAGGAAGCUCUGUUGCCAUGGGAACUACUAAUCAAACACUUCCAUUUUCGUUUCAAUCUUUCCAAUUCAGGGCUGAGUAUAAUGAUCUCCCUAUGUUCAUGCAAGUAUUCCUUUCUUGUUUCAAAAAAUUUGAACAUUUCAUGUUAUGUAUACCAUACAAUUUAUAAAUGUGUCAACGUAUAUGUGUUGCAGGUUCUUUGUGAUUGCAAAUUCUAUUGUAUGCGGAUAUCUUGUUCUGUCUCUUCCCCUGUCUAUCUUUCACAUCAUCCGGAGUGAAGCGAAAAUCAGCAGGAUCAUCUUCAUCAUAUUUGAUACGGUAGUAGUUCUUGAUUCCUCUUCUAUUCAAUUAAAUACUGUCCAAGAACCAGCUUAACUUAGAAGCUAAGUCUUUGAAUUUCAAACUUGUAAAAGGUUAUGUUGAGUCUUCUCGCUUGUGGGGCUUCUGUUGCAGCAAGCAUUGUAUACUUGGCACACAAAGGGAAUGCUAAUGCCAAUUGGCUCCCGAUUUGCCAACAAUUCAGCAACUUCUGCCAGCGAAUAUCUGGAUCUCUCAUAGGCUCUUUCUUCUCAGUGAUCAUUCUUAUUCUGAUUAUUACUACAUCAGCAGUGUCUCUCUCUCAAAUCUAGUAUAUUACAAGACUGUCUCAUAUAUCUUUAUCCGGUAAAUAAACUUCACCAAGUUUGUUUCCAAUACUGUAUUAUACCAGAAACUCGAUGUGGGUAAAUAAGGUCUAACCAAGAUCUUUUGACCUCUUGCCCUGACUACUAGAUUAAUAAAUGUUUUUGAUAUAAUUGGUUUCCACUGACGCUCAAGUUCAAGAUCUUAUCAUCCUAGAGGUGGAACUCAUUGGCAGAUUUGAAGGCAAAAAGCAUCAAUUUUAGAUAAGCAUUAAAAGUAAUCAAUAAAAGGGCAGAGUUGCAUUCUCACUUGACAACAUAUAUGAUUCAAACGCAUAUAAGCAUGUUCUAUGCCAAAUAUGCCACAACAUCAUCUAUGGAUUUCAACGUCUUCUCAUAGUAUAGAUACGAUUCGUAUACCUUCGGCGAACGAACAUAUUGAUCAAACCGAGCCAUGUUUUCAACCAGGUCAUUAGCCAACUCAACGUACUGUUUCCAGCGACCUUUAGGCAAAGUAGCCAUGGCUAUUUUCAAAUCUUUAGAGAGAUAGGCUUGCUUGAGCCUGAUGUAGAACAUGACAUACCUCCAAGACAUGGUUUCCAGCAUGUCCCUGAUGCUAUGUAGCCCCUCAGCAGUUUGUCUAAUUCUUGCAACUGAAUCUUCUGGAGAUAAAUCAGGCUCAAAGAAACGUUCCCAUAAGAAUGAAUGAACACCCCAAUUCUCAGCCAGUGCUGGAGGGGCUACUGAAGUGGCUAAAGUUGUAGUUAUUACGAUUCUUCUGCGAUUGGAGGUUACAUUUUCUCGGGAUGAAAUUGAUGCUUUAAUCACUGGGAGAGCCGAGUGACUGUGGAGCUUGGAGGCGCUGUGUGCACGGAGGAGAGCUGGGGUGUUGGUGAGGCUGCUGGUGAUCAUGGUUUUGGAUAAAAAUAUUUGGAGCAAUUCAAAUUCACAAGGCAAAUUUUGUCUCUGUGGAUUUCCUGACCCUCUAAUCUGUGCCUUAGCAUUCUGCCAUGUGUCCUUCAUUAUCUUGACAGGAAACAAGUUGUCUUCCCUGCUAUUUUGUUCAUUCUUGUCCUGCAGUUUAGGGAAAAAAAUUCAGCUUAUU